CAGAGGCAGAGAGACAGAGAGGAGCCACCCUAAGAAGAGAGACCAGAUACCCUUUUCUCAUCCUUUGAGUUCAACAGAUGUCUCUUCUGGUUGCAAGUGACAGAAGCCCACACAGAAAAGGCUCAGACCAAAGAGAAAUUUAUGGGCUCCUGAAACCCCUCACAGUCUCAGACAGGAUUCUUUCAAGAAUUGCAAACUUGGCUGAAGACCUUCCUGUCCCCUUUCUUACCUCCCAUGUACAGGAUGGGGGUGAUGAUCCCACUUCUCUGACUCUCACCCAGAAGUUAGGAACUCCUUAAGCUCUUACAAAACUAGGUGGUGUGUUAGAUUUGGACUUCAGAAUGCCAUUUCCUGAGCCCUGCUAAGUCAAUUUAAGCAGAUUCUCAGCUCCUGG
rnacentral:lncRNA from 10 species